rnacentral:rRNA from 1 species
AUUGAACGCUGGCGGCAUGCCUUACACAUGCAAGUCGAACGGCAGCGGACCUUCGGGUGCCGGCGAGUGGCGAACGGGUGAGUAAUGCAUCGGAACGUACCUUUCAGUGGGGGAUAACGUAGCGAAAGUUACGCUAAUACCGCAUAUUCUGUGAGCAGGAAAGCAGGGGAUCGCAAGACCUUGCGCUGAUUGAGCGGCCGAUGUCAGAUUAGCUAGUUGGUGAGGUAAAGGCUCACCAAGGCGACGAUCUGUAGCGGGUCUGAGAGGAUGACCCGCCACACUGGGACUGAGCCACGGCCCAGACUCCUACGGGAGGCAGCAGUGGGGAAUUUUGGACAAUGGGGGCAACCCGGAUCCAGCCAUGCCGCGUGAGUGAAGAAGGCCUUCGGGUUGUAAAGCUCUUUCGGCCGGGAAGAAACCGCACAGGCUAAUACCUUGUGUGGAUGACGGUGCCGGAAUAAGAAGCACCGGCUAACUACGUGCCAGCCGCCGCAGUAACAC